rnacentral:rRNA from 1 species
GACGAACGCUGGCGGCGUGCUUAACACAUGCAAGUCGAACGGAAAGGCCCUGCUUUUGUGGGGUGCUCGAGUGGCGAACGGGUGAGUAACACGUGAGUAACCUGCCCUUGACUUUGGGAUAACUUCAGGAAACUGGGGCUAAUACCGGAUAGGAGCUCCUGCUGCAUGGUGGGGGUUGGAAAGUUUCGGCGGUUGGGGAUGGACUCGCGGCUUAUCAGCUUGUUGGUGGGGUAGUGGCUUACCAAGGCUUUGACGGGCAGCCGGCCUGAGAGGGUGACCGGCCACAUUGGGACUGAGAUACGGCCCAGACUCCUACGGGGGGCAGCAGUGGGGAAUAUUGAACAAUGGGCGGAAGCCUGAUGCAGAAACGCCGCGUGGGGGAUGACGGCCUUCGGGUUGUAAACCGCUUUCGCCUGUGACGAAGCGUGAGUGGCGGUAAUGGGUAAAGAAGCACCGGCUAACUACGU